ensembl:lncRNA
CCUGGAGUUCAGGCCAGGGCCCCAGCAGCUGCACUCACUGGUGGCCUCUGAACCCCUUCGGUCAUGUGAGCCCGAAGCUACUUCCUGCACUGCGGUGCCACCGUGCCAGCUGCCGCUGGGAAUCUGCCCUGCACCCACACUGUGUGGGGACCUCUGGGAGAGCCCCGUGCCCAGACCACAAGGCCUGCAGCGUCAGCAGCUCCAUCCUCCCGACCCCAUGUGAAGGAGAUCCGUCAAGUCCCGGUCCGGCUGCAGAACCCCGCUCUGGAGCAAACGCAGGGCUGUGAGGUCCCGGGGUGGCAGCUUCCUCCCCACAGGCUGGGCCCUGGGCGUGCUGGGAGGGAGCAGGCCUUCAUUCCAGGUGGAAGGGCAGCAAUGGAGAGAAGAGCUCCUGCCCAGUGCCUGCUGGCUCACCCUCUCAGGCCACUAGCCCCAGAGCAAAAGCUGUGCCGCGGAAACGGGAGCCCCUCCCGGCUGGAGUGGCUCGUCUGGAGCCCUGCCUGUGGGCUCCGCUCCCUUCUUCUCUCAGCCGCCCCUGGGCACACCGGGAUGGGCCAGGUGGCACCAGCACUCCCCACGUCAGAGGCUGGAGCAGAGGGCCUGCGGUGGGCACUUCCCGGGCACGCACGCGCCGUGGUCCUGGGCCCCAGCCCGUGGUGAGAGCCCAGGAGGGCGCCUCUUCCGCUCAGGGAGCGUUACUGAGCGCCUGCUGCACGCAGCCAGGGCACUGCGGAUACGAGCGAGAGAAGGGCCCUCCGUGCUCCGUCCCCCAAAGCCUCUGCUUCCUCACAACACAGGAGCCUGGGUGCUGGCACCCCGCCCGCCCCUGUACACGCCUUUCCUGUCACCCCCACACCCGGCUCUGUCCCCUUGUCUACUUGCCCCUGUGCCCUGUGCCUCUCGCUGCUCCCUAUAAGAUCCACACCUUCUCCCAGGAUCCGCUUAGGGCCUCCCUGGGUCACAGGCUUCUGGGCUUUGUCACCACUGCCACCUGGUGGUCAGGAGCGGGAGUGCACCCCGUUCCGCACUGGGGCUGGCGGCAGAGCCCUGCUGGAACUGUGAGAGGCUCUGGGAGUGAAAAGGAGCCAGGCACACAGAAACUACGGCUUCCCUCGGGUUUCCCACAGCUCGGUAGCCUCAGGAGGGCCCCCUCGGUGACAGGUCUUAAAAGACUGCCUGAAGUCCUGACUUUGUCUAAUUCACCACACGGUACUCCUACCCUGCAGUCUCCAGGGGCCAUGCUGUAAAGCAGAUCCCAAGGAUGGUGUCCCCCAGGGCUGAGGACACAGGGCAGCAGAGAGGCAAGGCAGGUGUCAGCAGUAAGCCUGGACAGGAUCAGGUAAAAGGUCCCAUUUUCUGGGCCUUUGUGUCUACAACCCAAGGGCACCGGGCACCCAGGGCCCACCUUUGGCAGGGCACACCCAUCCACCCAUUUACCCACCCAUCUGUCCAUCCAGCCAAGUAGUUGUGGAGCAGGUGCCUGCCCUACACGGAACUUGGUCCAGUAAUGAGGUGCCCAGGGCAGGGAGUGGGGGUGCCCGUGCAGAGCUGGCCUGCAGGACACAGGGAGUUUCUGCAGCCUGGGCCCACUACGCCCAAAGGAAACAACUGCCACUCCUGGCAGCAGCUGCUAAAUCAGCCACCUUGGGGAGAAGCAAAGAUGCAGGCCCAGAAUUGGGGCUGCCAGAGAUCCUGGGGUGGCCGAGAACCCAG